rnacentral:rRNA from 1 species
AUCAACUUUCGAUGGUAGGAUAGAGGCCUACCAUGGUGGUGACGGGUGACGGAGAAUUAGGGUUCGAUUCCGCAGAGGGAGCCUGAGAAACGGCUACCACAUCCAAGGAUGGCAGCAGGCGCGCAAAUUACCCAAUUCCAACACGGGGAGGUAGUGACAAUAAAUAACAAUACGGGGUUCUUUAGGAUCUCGUAAUUGGAAUGAGUACAAUUUAAAUCUCUUAACGGGGAACAAUUGGAGGGCAAGUCUGGUGCCAGCAGCCGCGGUAAUUCCAGCUCCAAUAGCGUAUAUUAAAGUUGUUGCAGUUAAAAAGCUCGUAGUUGAAUUUCGGGGUUAGUAGGUUGGUCAUGCCUCUGGUAUGUACUGGUCUCACUGAUUCCUCCUUCCUGAUGAGCCGUAAUGCCAUUAAUUUGGUGUUGCGGGGAAUUUGGACUGUUACUUUGAAAAAAUUAGAGUGUUUAAAGCAAGCUAACGCUUGAAUACAUUAGCAUGGAAUAAUGAAAUAGGACGUUCGAUCCUAUUUUGUUGGUUUCUAGGAUUGACGUAAUGAUUAAUAGGGAUAGUUGGGGGCAUUAGUAUUCAAUUGUCAGAGGUGAAAUUCUUGGAUUUAUUGAAGACUAACUACUGCGAAAGCAUUUGCCAAGGAUGUUUUCAUUAAUCAAGAACGAAAGUUAGGGGAUCGAAGACGAUCAGAUACCGUCGUAGUCUUAACCAUAAACUAUGCCGACUAGGGAUCGGAUGAUGUUAAUUUUUUAAUGACUCAUUCGGCGCCUUACGGGAAACCAAAGUGUUUGGGUUC